GAGAGUUGGGUAGUCCGCACGAGCGCACCUCACUUUUAGUUGCCAUCAUUUAGUUGGGCACUCUGAAAGAACUGCCAGUGAUAAGCUGGAGGAAGGUGGGGAUGACGUCAAGUCCUCAUGGCCCUUACGUGUUGGGCUACACACGUGCUACAAUGGUAUCUACAACAGGAAGCAAAACGGCAACGUUAAGCAAAUCCCGAAAAGAUACCUCAGUUCGGAUUGCACUCUGCAACUCGAGUGCAUGAAGCUGGAAUUACUAGUAAUCGUGGAUCAGCGUGCCACGGUGAAUGCGUUCCCGGGUCUUGUACACACCGCCCGUCACACCAUGGGAGUUGGUUCUACCUUAAGGCAAGGUUUUAAACCCUUGACCACGGUAUAGUCAGCGACUGGGGUGAAGUCGUAACAAGGUAGCCGUAGGGGAACCUGCGGCUGGAUUACCUCCUUUCU
rnacentral:rRNA from 1 species